rnacentral:sRNA from 1 species
GCCAGGUGUGGUGACCCAUGCCUGUCAUCCCAGCAGCUUGGGAGGCUGAGGCAGGAGGAUUGCGAGUUCAAAGCCAGCCUCAGGAGUUAGUGAGGCCCUGAGCAACCCAGUGAGACCCUGUCUCUA